CAUCAGUGACCAGCAGUGAGGUUGGGAGGUCACCCCAGGCAUGCCAGGGCCUCUGCUCAGGCUUCAUCUACACGAGUUGAGAUAAGCAGUCCCCCACCCCUAGGAGGUGCUCUUAUGGAGGCCCCUCAGCUUCUUCCCCUUGACCUCUUGCUCGUCCUUUCCUCGAUGGGAGAAAGUAGGGGCCUCUUGGCCCUCGCCUCUUCUUCUAGGCUGCUUUAUGUCCCAGCCAUCUCCGGGACCUCAUUUCUGCCUAGCAACAUCACAACCAAUCAAGAUGCAACUAGGCCUGGCAGUUCGGCUCAUCCUUCACUGGGAUUGGCUGCUGGCGGUGAGCGCAUCCUAAGUUUUCAUUGGCUGACGGCCACCUGUAUGGAAAUGAGAAUGACAGGGGACUCUCAGCGCCUUCUCUGCUACGUGGACCUGUGGCUUACUGCACUGAAACCUGCAAGCUCAGAGCCAGAACUCCUGGGCUUUUUUCUGCCUUCUCUCCU
rnacentral:lncRNA from 1 species